rnacentral:rRNA from 1 species
GACGAACGCUGGCGGCGUGCUUAACACAUGCAAGUCGAGCGGUAAGGCCCUUUCGGGGGUACACGAGCGGCGAACGGGUGAGUAACACGUGGGUGACCUGCCCUCAGCUCUGGGAUAAGCCUGGGAAACCGGGUCUAAUACUGGAUAUGACUCCAUGACGCAUGUUGUGGGGUGGAAAGCCUUGUGCGGCUGAGGAUGGGCCCGCGGCCUAUCAGCUUGUUGGUGGGGUGANGGCCUACCAAGGCGACGACGGGUAGCCGGCCUGAGAGGGCGACCGGCCACACUGGGACUGAGACACGGCCCAGACUCCUACGGGAGGCAGCAGUGGGGAAUCUUGCGCAAUGGGCGAAAGCCUGACGCAGCGACGCCGCGUGGA